CAAAACAGCUAUGGGUCAAGUAGGAGAAUAAGAAGUCUUAUUGUAAGGGCGAGUUUUAUAAAAAAAGAACUGGCCGUCCCAUAUGAAAAGAUUAUAUUAGAAUUGAAUGAAGCUUUGUUUAUAUAUUGAUAAUGACAGUCCCACUAGUGAGUGUCUUGACUAAUUGCGUGCCAGCAGUCGCGGUAAUACGUAAGAGACUAGUGUUAUUCAUCUUAAUUAGGUUUAAAGGGUACCCAGACGGUCAAUAUAGCUUAUAAAAUGUUAGUACUUGACUAGAGUUUUAUGUAAGAGGGCAGUACUUGAGGAGGAGAGAUGAAAUUUCGUGAUACCAAAGGGACUCUGUAAAGGCGAAGGCAGCCCUCUAUGUAAAAACUGACGUUUAAGGACGAAGGCACAGAGAACAAACAGGAUUAGAUACCCAAGUAGUCUUUGCAGUAAAUGAUGAAUGCCAUAGGUUAGAUGGGUGGGUAGUCUAGUUGAGUUAGUUUAGCAAACUAAUGAUCUAGACGAGCCCACCAUAUAUUUGGUCUAUAAAUGAAAGUGUAAGCAUUUCACCUCAAGAGUAAUGUGGCAACGCAGGAACUGAAAUCACUAGACCGUUUCUGACACCAGUAGUGAAGUAUGUUAUUUAAUUC
rnacentral:rRNA from 1 species